rnacentral:rRNA from 1 species
AUUAGCGGCGGACGGGUGAGUAACACGUGAGUAACCUGCCUUAGACAUUGGGAUAGCCUCGGGAAACCGGGAUUAAUACCAAAUAAAAUCAUAAUGACACAUGUCAUAACGAUCAAAACUCCGGUGGUCUAAGAUGGACUCGCGUCCCAUUAGCUAGUUGGUAGAGUAAAAGCCUACCAAGGCGACGAUGGGUAGCCGGCCUGAGAGGGUGAACGGCCACAUCGGAACUGAGAAACGGUCCAA